AGGCGCAACGGCUGGGCAGUUGGAGGGCGGGGCUUUCCUCAGAGACGUUAACUCGUUGGGGUUGGGGCCGCCGCCAUUUUGAAUUCGCUCUCUGCUGGUCGGAUCCGCGGCUGCGGCGGGUAAGUGCGGCUCCGUGACCCCCUGAGAGCGCGAGAGAGACCGAGGGAAGACGAAACAUGGCAGCGAACAGCCGGAACUUGAAACAAGUGCGGAUCGAAAACAGCUCCCCGGCGGCCCCGCUCGGCAUGGUGGGGGGCGGCGGCCUGAAGGGGAUGCGGGGCCUGGAGGCGGACAACGAGGUAGGGGCGAUGGCGCUGGCGCAGGUCAAAGAGGCUGGCGACGAGGAGCAGGAGGUCGGGUUCACCAUCGACAUCAAGAGCUUCCUCAAGCCCGGCGAAAAGAGCUACACGCAGCGUUGCCGUCUCUUCGUGGGGAACCUGCCCACCGACAUCACCGAGGAGGACUUCAAGCGCCUCUUCGAGCGCUACGGGGAGCCCAGCGAGGUCUUUAUCAACCGCGACCGCGGCUUCGGCUUCAUCCGCCUGGAGUCUAGAACACUGGCUGAAAUAGCAAAGACAGAACUUGAUGGUACUAUUUUGAAGAGUAGACCACUUCGAAUUCGAUUUGCUACACACGGAGCUGCCUUAACAGUCAAGAAUCUUUCACCUGUGGUUUCCAAUGAGCUUCUGGAACAAGCUUUUUCUCAAUUUGGUCCAGUGGAGAGGGCUGUUGUUGUAGUAGAUGACCGUGGCAGAGCUACAGGAAAAGGUUUUGUAGAGUUUGCAGCAAAACCUCCGGCAAGGAAGGCUCUAGAGAGAUGCAGUGAUGGGGCAUUCUUACUAACAACAACACCGCGACCUGUUGUUGUAGAACCUAUGGAACAAUUUGAUGAUGAAGAUGGGCUACCAGAGAAAUUAAUGCAAAAAACACAACAGUAUCAUAAGGAAAGGGAGCAGCCUCCACGUUUUGCUCAACCUGGAACAUUUGAAUUUGAGUAUGCUUCACGAUGGAAGGCUCUUGAUGAGAUGGAAAAACAGCAGCGAGAACAGGUUGACAGGAAUAUUAGAGAAGCCAAAGAGAAACUAGAGGCAGAAAUGGAAGCAGCUAGACAUGAACAUCAGUUAAUGCUGAUGAGGCAAGAUCUCAUGAGGCGCCAGGAAGAACUGAGACGUUUGGAAGAACUUAGAAAUCAAGAGCUACAGAAACGCAAGCAAAUACAAUUGAGACAUGAAGAAGAACAUCGACGUCGUGAAGAAGAGAUGCUACGGCAGAGAGAACAGGAAGAACUGAGACGACAGCAGGAAGGAGGAUUUAAGCCAAAUUUCUUGGACAAUGAAGUCAAAUGGACAAAUGCAAAUACGAACACAGCUGUGCGGAAUAUCUGGCUGAAGGUUUCUUUUGGAUAACAUCUGUUUCCCCAGAUACAUAAUCACAAAGGAGUACAUGUCCUAAGUGCAUCUCAAAAAUGGAGUUCUUCCUUUCUGUUUGGUGGAUAGUGGGUAUCAUGAAGUGAUUGCUUUUCCUGCUGGCUAAGUCAAAGUGCCGUAUGGCCCACUUCAAUGGAAGUCUAUUUACUCUGCAGUUCUAUAUCUUUAGGUUAAAAUUAAAAUGCUAAAAUGCAGAUGAAGAUUGGUUUUAAAAAAAAAAGUUCUGCUGUGUCUUAAGAGUGCAGAGGGUCAAGAUCCUGAAGCCAUUUUUUUUUUUCACUUUCAGGUUGGAAAAAAGCAGUGAAGUCAAUUUCAUCUUCACCUUGAGAAAUACUGUGCAGAGCAUUGAGCAACAAACAUACUGUUCUCCCAGUGUGAAGGAGAUAGAGCUGAAGCAUGUCUAUCACUAUCAGCAUCCUCCACAUACACAAAAAAAAGCCAGUUUUUUUCAAAUGAAACAUUAGUGCUGAGUCAGCAAUGAUUUAUAACUUUUGAUUUUUGAUGUGGGGGCUAUAAGCAUGGAAAGUUCUGUUAGAUCUCUGUUCAUAGUAUUGAUAACCGGGUUUUCAAGUUUGUAGACAUUAUAACCCAAGGCAGGUUUAACUUCUUAUAUGACUGAACUGCAUUUAUGGGGUUUCUCCAAGAAAGAGAAAUAACUGAGUUAAAUGACACCAUCAGUUCUUAUAAUCAGGAGAAGGCUGGGAGUAACAUGUGGUAAAAUUAAUGGAAAUUGCAGCAAAAUCAGCAAACUUGACACCUGCUGAUAUACAAAGUCUGGAAUAAAUUGUUACAUGCUAAUCUCAGAGUAGCACCCUGUAACCCCCAUAUUCAUCAUUUGUAUGUCGUGAUAUUUCAUAAAAAGCAUGCCAUGUAACAUACCAUAUCUGCUGAAACUCAUUGUUCUGUCAAACUCUGUGCAUCGCUAUUGUGUAUGAAGUUAUGAGAUUUUGCUGUAUGGUUGUGGUUGAAAUAUGUUGAGAGUUUGGGACUCGUCCACUGCUAGCUGGCCAGUGGCUGAGGGUGGUGACCCAUGCCCAAAGGGGUGUUAAAACUACUGUUGAUCAAUAUGGUAAACAAGAAAUCUACAAUUCAAUAAGAGACAGUUACACAAGAACCACACAAUUAGGAUUGUUCAACUCUCUGACUCAGCAAGGCAUGCCUGGGCCAGUUUCUUUCCAGGGACGUGGACUCAGAGUAUAAAAUAAGGGACAAUGAUAUCAUGAGAUGACCUCUCUCCUCCCCAACAUAUGCUGAAGGCAACAAGAAUCCUGGGAAGACAAAGUCUGAGAAGGAAACUCAGACUGUAUUAAGAACUGCAACCUACCUGCAACAUCCAGUGGGGUGAGAAAAGCAGAUUCAGCUCUUUCUUAGGCUUUGUCUACACUACUACUUUUGUUUAUCAGGAGUGUAAAAACAGACCGACCCCUGGCAGACAUUGUUAAUAUGGCUCAAUAGGGGUGGUUUAAUUAUGCUGGCAGGAGAGCUCUCUUGUGCUGGGAAAGAGCAGCUACAGGGGAGACUUUACAGCGGCACAUCUGUACCACUGUAAAGUCUGUAGUGUAGAUAUAGUCUUAGUGUAAAAGUUUAGCAUUUAAAAUGUGUUCACUUUUUCUCAACUUAUGUCUGCUACCUAAAAAACCCUAUUUUCUGUAGUCAGUAAACUUGUUUUACCCUUACCAGCAAGUUUGUCUAAAGUACUGGGGGAAUCUGCUCAGAUUACAAAGGGUGCUGCAUGUUCCCUUUCCUUUGAUGAAGUGGAUACUAAUUAAUAAACUUGAACUAUUCAAGAGAA